rnacentral:piRNA from 1 species
UGUUGAAGUAACAGAAGCCAGCAAAGG